AAAAGGAAACGAGAGGAAAGAAAAUCCAGUCGUUGGAGGGUUGCAAAAUGAAGCAUACAAAAGCUUAAACGUUCCAUGGCCCUCUCAAAAGACACUGGCCUUGCAGCAAUAUUGACAUGAUACAAAAUACUUGGGUUACAAGCACAAGUACAAAACAAUACAACUAAUCUGAUGUCUGUCCUUACACUACAAGCCCUAAUAAACUUCACUAAUUUAUGGUCCUGCCCAAAAUUAUAAGGAAGAGGACCUCUGUUGAGGUUGGAAACUGAAAUCUGCCCUUAGAAGUAGAUCUAUACUACA
rnacentral:misc_RNA from 1 species